CAUUCCAUGGCCAAACUGGUCAAGGCAUCGCCGAUUAAAGGUGAAGAUACGGGUUCGAGUCCCGCUGGAAUGG
rfam:Operophtera brumata OBRT01_Sc00617, whole genome shotgun sequence.